rnacentral:tRNA from 1 species
GAGGGUAUAGCUGAGUGGUAGAGCACAUGCUUAGCAUGCACGAGGUCCUGGGUUCAAUUCCCCAGUACCUCCA